AUUGAACGCUGGCGGCAUGCCUUACACAUGCAAGUCGAACGGUAACAGGUCUUCGGAUGCUGACGAGUGGCGAACGGGUGAGUAAUACAUCGGAACGUGCCUAGUAGUGGGGGAUAACUACUCGAAAGAGUGGCUAAUACCGCAUGAGAUCUACGGAUGAAAGCAGGGGAUCGCAAGACCUUGUGCUACUAGAGCGGCCGAUGGCAGAUUAGGUAGUUGGUGGGAUAAAAGCUUACCAAGCCGACGAUCUGUAGCUGGUCUGAGAGGGCGAUCAGCCACACUGGGACUGAGACACGGCCCAGACUCCUACGGGAGGCAGCAGUGGGGAAUUUUGGACAAUGGGCGCAAGCCUGAUCCAGCAAUGCCGCGUGCAGGAUGAAGGCCUUCGGGUUGUAAACUGCUUUUGUACGGAACGAAAAGCCCUGGGUUAAUACCCUGGGGUCAUGACGGUACCGUAAGGAUAAGCACCGGCUAACUACGUGCCAGCAGCCGCGGUAACAC
rnacentral:rRNA from 1 species